AUUUUGUCCGAUCAACAUUAUACCUACAAGAAUUCAAUUACGCGUAUGAGUUAUACCAGCAAGACGAGGGUUCGAAUCCCUCCACGUCCACGUUCGCAGUGCACGAGGAACCAUCCAUGACAUUUUCGGUUCUACCGCGAGAUGUAAAAACAACCGAACCGAAAACGGGCGCGAUUUGGGUUUGAUUGUUGGUGGAAGUAAAUACAUUAAGCGUAUUGACUAUAUAUAACUGGCAACAUUAACGUUGUAGACUAUACGGGCCUCCAGGAGGCAGCGUAAAGUCGGUGAAGGCUACCUAAGUGCCAGCGUCUUUAGUGUAACUGAUAACACAACACACUUGUGUGUAGAUAUGAGUUUGAGCCUCAUAAGA
rnacentral:tmRNA from 1 species